UUAACUAUGUUUGCAAUGAGUCUAACAGGUAAAAAUCCUGGAUUUGGAUUCAAUCUUUUAUUUUAAAACACAGAGUUGAUCAUUUUCUGUUAUGUUAAAGUUGGAAAUCAACCACAAGGUGGGUUUGAGGAUCCACUGUGAGACAGACGCAAGCAAACCACCAUUACUCCACCUCCAUUCGCCCAGAAGUGCCCAUACUACAUGAAACAGAAGUAUGAGAACAACACGGAUGUACCUUAGGAACUGUCUAACAUGGGUGUACCUUAACCAGCCUGACCUAGACAGCUCCCCAGAACAUGAGCCAAGACCCCCUAAAUGGUUUUUGGCAUUUCUGGCCUCCAGCCAGGACAGAACUACUGUUAACAGUCCCAGCUUCUGAGCAAGUCUGAACUGUUUGCCAAGGACAAGAAGAGUUCAUCAUGAGAAGAACAGCCAGGUCCACCAAGACGGCUCAUCAGGUGACAGGGCAUAAGAUCAGUGGAGCAGCUGGGAUGGAAGUCUUUCCGCCACCAUUUGCACCAGGGAGCCUGGAAACUCCACAGCCUUCUGUGCAUAGCCUGCCAGGAGAGAGAGAUCUCCCAGCAGUGCUUUCACUUUUGAACUCAGAGGAGUAAGGACACAGGCUUGCAGGCCCACAGGAGGAACAAACUCCAGCCAUAAACAACAGUACCAACUAGCACCAGAGAUAACCAGAUGGUGAAAGGUAAGCACAAGAACCUUACUAACAGAAACCAGGGCCACAUGGCAACAUCAGAACCCAGUUUUCCCACCACAGCAAGUCCCGGAUACCCCAACACACCGGAAAAGCAAGAGUUGGAUUUAAAAUCAUAUCUCAUGAUGCUGAUAGAGGGCUUCAAUAAAGACUUAAAUAACUCCCUUAAAGAAAUACAGGAGAACA